rnacentral:rRNA from 1 species
CCUACGGGUGGCAGCAGUGGGGAAUAUUGGGCAAUGGAGGCAACUCUGACCCAGCAACGCCGCGUGAAUGAUGAAGGUCUUCGGAUUGUAAAGUUCUGUGAUGGGGGAUGAACACAAUGACGGUACCCCAAUAGCAAGCCACGGCUAACUACGUGCCAGCAGCCGCGGUAAUACGUAGGUGGCAAGCGUUAUCCGGAUUUACUGGGUGUAAAGGGCGUGCAGCCGGGAAGACAAGUCAGAUGUGAAAUCCCGCGGCUCAACCGCGGAACUGCAUUUGAAACUGUUUUUCUUGAGUACCGGAGAGGUCAUCGGAAUUCCUUGUGUAGCGGUGAAAUGCGUAGAUAUAAGGAAGAACACCAGUGGCGAAGGCGGAUGACUGGACGGCAACUGACGGUGAGGCGCGAAAGCGUGGGGAGCAAACAGGAUUAGAUACCCCUGUAGUC